rnacentral:rRNA from 1 species
CAGCCGUAAACUAUGCGCGUUAGGUGUACUGGUGACCACGAGUCACCGGGGUGCCGAAGGGAAACCGUGAAACGUGCCGCCUGGGAAGUACGGUCGCAAGGCUGAAACUUAAAGGAAUUGGCGGGGGAGCACCGACAACGGGUGGAGCCUGCGGUUUAAUUGGACUCAACGCCGGAAAUCUCACCGGAUAGGACAGACAUAUGAUAGUCGGGCUGAAGACUCUACUUGAUGAUCUGAGAGGAGGUGCAUGGCGUAGUCGUGU